UUAGUUGCUUUCCGAGGGGAAUAUUUGUCUUGAAAACAAAUUUCGAGUGUUCGACUCACUCAGCAACUUAG
rnacentral:tRNA from 1 species